rnacentral:lncRNA from 1 species
GGGGGGAAAGUUAAACCCGGCCGGGGGACGGGAGUUGGGCCGGGCGCUGCUGCUGGUUUGCUGGGCUGAAGCCGCGAGUGGGGAGAGGGGGAAGAAAGGCCGGGGGGUGGGUCUAGCUGGGUUUGCCUUUCCCUUUUUUUCUUUUUCUUUUCUGUUUUCUUUUUUCCACUUCUCCUUUGUUUUCUAAAGUCUUUUUGAAAAGAGAUUUUAAAUCCUUUUUGGAGAUAAACAAAACAUAGACAGAAAACAAGCAAGCAAGUAAAUAAAUAAAUUAAUUCCAGCAUGAAUGCAUAACCAUGUUUCUAAACUUAUAAUGAAUUUUAAUCUUGACAAAAAUAUUUUAUUUACUAGAUUAAAUGCCCACAAAAAUUGCUUAAAUAAUUCUCAUUAAAUCCUAUUAAUUCAAAAGCAAAUUUUUGGGUGUUACAAAUUCUACCCCCCAUAAAAGAAUCUCGUCCUCGAGAUUGAGCAGUGCAUAAACAAACAGCUGUGGAUAUGAUUCUCUCCAAUCAUCCUCUCUUUCCCAAGUUGCUUCUACCUCUAAAAACCGAUUCCAUUGCACUAGCAAAUUCAUGGCUCUAGUCAAGUAACAUACCUGGUAACUUAUUUGAAAGUUUUAUUCCCUACACAGUCUUGAAGAUCAACACCAUCAUCCAGCUGAUUCACUGUAGCUGUGGGUGGAGCCUGCACUGCUACAUCCACACUGAUUCUCUCUCCCUUGGGUGUUGUCACAACUACUACUUUCUCUUUGCACUUAAUUUCCGU